AUUGAACGCUGGCGGCAGGCUUAACACAUGCAAGUCGAGCGAGCGGCGGACGGGUGAGUAAUGUCUGGGAAACUGCCUGAUGGAGGGGGAUAACUCCUGGAAACGGUAGCUAAUCCGGCAUACCAUCAGAUGUGCCCAGAUGGCAUUAGCGAGUAGGUGGGGUAAUGGCUAACCUAGGCGACGAUCCAUAGCUGGUCUGAGAGGGUGACCAGCCACACUGGAACUGAGACACGGUCCAGACUCCUACGGGAGGCAGCAGUGGGGAAUAUUGCACAAUGGGCGCAAGCCUGAUGCAGCCAUGCCGCGUGAGUGAUGAAGGUCUUCGGGUUGUAAAGCUCUUUCAUCGAGGAGGCGUUACUCGCAGAGGAAGCACCGGCUAACUCCGUGCCAGCAGCCGCGGUAAUAC
rnacentral:rRNA from 1 species